rnacentral:lncRNA from 1 species
AUGUCAUCUAUUCUUAGAUUUGUAUCAUAUUACAUUUUAAUUAUAGAAACUACACAGUCACUACAUAGUCAUAGUACAAAAGAACUGUACAAAAAAGAUCUUCACAACCAAGAUAAUCACACUGGUGUGAUCACUCACCUAGAGCCAGACAUCCUGGAAUGUGAAGUCAAGUGGGCCUUAGGAAGCAUGCCUACAAACAAAGCUAGUGGAGGUGAUGGAAUUCCAGUUGAGCUAUUUCAAAUCCUGGAAGAUGAUGCUGUGAAAGUGCUGCACUCAAUAUGCCAGCCAAUUUGGAAAACUCAGCAGUGGCCACAGGACUGGAAAAGGUCAGUUUUCAUUCCAAUCCCAAAGAAAGGCAAUGCCAAAGAAUGCUCAAACUAUCGCACAAUUGCACUCAUCUCACACACUAGUAAAGUAAUGCUCAAAAUUCUCCAAGCCAGGCUUCAGCAAUAUGUGAACUGUGAACUCCCUGAUGUUCAAGCUGGUUUUAGAAAAGGCAGAGGGACAAGAAAUCAAAUUGCCAACAUCUGCUUGAUCAUGGAAAAAGCAAGAGAGUUCCAGAAAAACAUCUAUUUCUGCUUUAUUGACUAUGCCAAAGCCUUUGACUCUGUGGAUCACAAUAAACUGUGGAAAAUUCUGAGAGAGAUGGGAAUACCAGUCCACCUGACCUGCCUCUUGAGAAAUCUGUAUGCAGUUCAGGAAGCAACAGUUAGAAUUGGACAUGGAACAACAGACUGGUUCCAGAUAGGAAAAGGAGUACUUCCAGGCUGUAUAUUGUCACCCUGCUUAUUUAACUUACACGCAGAGUCCAUCAUGAGAAACACUGGACUGGAAGAAACACAAGCUGGAAUCAAGAUUGCUGGGAGAAAUAUCAAUAACCUCAGAUAUGCAGAUGACACCACCCUUAUGGCAGAAAGUGAAGAGGAACUAAAAAGCCUCUUGAUGAAAGUGAAAGAGGAGAGUGAAAAAGUUGGCUUAAAACUCAACAUUCAGAAAACUAAGAUCAUGGCAUCUGGUCCCAUCACUUCAUGGGAAAUAGAUAGGGAAACAGUAGAAACAGUGUCAGACUUUAUUUUUCUGGGCUCCAGAAUCACUGCAGAUGGUGACUGCAGCCAUGAAAUUAAAAGAUACUUACUCCUUGGAAGGAAAGUUAUGACCAACCUAGACAGCAUAUUAAAAAGCGGAGACAUUUCUUUGCCAGCUAAGGUCCGUUGA